UAUAGCUAACUCUUUCUCUUUCUAUUAAUCUUUUUUUCUCUUAUUACGUUGUUAAGUUAAUUUCUUUUAUAACAAUUCUCUGUUUCUUUCCUAUUUUUAUUAAAACAAAAGACCCAAAAAUCCCUAAUCACUUUUCAUCUUCUCCGAAAGAAGAGAGGGACUUCCCCCCCCCUCCCCCCGCACCCCUAUACUCUCUCCUCCUCUCUCCACCGCCUCUCCUUCUUCUCAAAAAGAGAACCACCUCCACAGACCCCUCUCUCCCUCCGCUCUCUCUACCUCCACUGCACCGCCUCACCCUCUCAGUCUCUCCUCUCUCCACCGCACCACUAUCGCCGCCUCUCUCUCUCUUCUCCUCCUCUUUACUCUCCGGCGAACCACGCCAAAGCCCGCCACCUCCCUCUCGUCUGCCUUCCUCUUAUCCGGCGGACAACCACGGAAUGGAGACCCCAGCGUCGUCCCCUGCUCCUCUCCCUUCGCCGGCGAUGCCUGAACCAACAACCACCGCCCCUCUCUUCGUGAAUCGCAGAGUUUCGACAAGGCUAGCAGUAGCGAUGUCAACAACGACCACCGUGAUCUAAACCAGAUUGACCGGAGAUUUGCCGAGUUCGAAACAUCUCGGAUAUUUUGAGACCCCAUUUGUGUUAAGAACGGAUCUGUGAAAGAUCCGUCCCAGGGCUUGAGCAUGAAGGUCAAGAUGUUGAAGAGUCGACUGGGAAGGGAUUUACUGGACAUGAUUAGUCAUGUUUAAGAUUUUACUUGUUUGAGUUACUUAUUCAUUUUUUUAGCAUGUAAUAUUUUUUUAUUAAAUACUUCUCUAUAAUAAUAAAUAAUCGGGGACCCCUUAAGGGAGGAGGGGAAACCUACGUGUA